rnacentral:rRNA from 1 species
CCUUAGUAGCGGCGAGCGAACAGGAAAAAGCCCAGCACCGAAUCCUGCGAUCGAUACCGAUCGUCGGGAAAUGUGGUGUUAAGAAGGACUCGUUAUCUCGAGAUUUCGCGUUACGUUUAAGUCCAUCUUGAACGGGGCCACUACCCAUAGAGGGUGCCAGGCCCGUAACGACUAACGCUUAUUUCGAGAGAGUCUCUUCUGAGAGUCGGGUUGCUUGAGAGUGCAGCCCUAAGUGGGUGGUAAACUCCAUCUAAGGCUAAAUAUAACCACGAGACCGAUAGCGAACAAGUACCGUGAGGGAAAGUUGAAAAGAACUUUGAAGAGAGAGUUCAAUAGUACGUGAAACCGUUCAGGGGUAAACCUGAGAAACCCGAAAGGUCGAAAAGAGAGAUUCAUUCGCGUUUCGUUUAUCUGCAUAUAGAAUUCGAGCGACGAACGACGUUCGCGCCGUUCGCGUCUUUUUUUAUUUUGUUCGAUUGCGAACGCGUGCACUUCUCUCUUAGUAGGACGUCGCGAUCCGUUGGGUGUCGUUCUAAGGCUCGCCGGUAAGUUCGUUGGCGCGCGUUUCGGCGUGCGUUAGCGAGGCCGGCGAUGUUUCCCGAUCGACGCGCUCGACGGUAAACGAAUGGCGCGAAGCCGCGACUUUAGUUCGCGUUCGGCUCGUAGCAAGCUUGUUCGCAGCGUCGGAACUAGGACCUAGCGCCUAUUUUGACCUCGGACGGUUGCUAGCUAUCGAUGUUUUCGAACAGACUUUGUUGAAACGCCAAUCUGCGACGCUAUAGCUUUGGGUACUUUCAGGACCCGUCUUGAAACACGGACCAAGGAGUCUAGCAUGUGCGCGAGUCAUUGGGAUAUUAUUAAACCUAAAGGCGUAAUGAAAGUAAAGAAUCGUUUCGAGCGAUUCGAGGGAAGAUGGGUUAAUCAAAAAGGAUUGCCUCGCAUUCCCGGGGCGUCUUAAUCUCAUUGCGAGAUGAGGCGCACCAAGAGCGUACACGCUGGGACCCGAAAGAUGGUGAACUAUGCCUGGUCAGGACGAAGUCAGGGGAAACCCUGAUGGAGGUCCGUAGCGAUUCUGACGUGCAAAUCGAUCGUCGGAACUGGGUAUAGGGGCGAAAGACUAAUCGAACCAUCUAGUAGCUGGUUCCCUCCGAAGUUUCCCUCAGGAUAGCUGGCGCUUAUUGCGUACAAGUUUCAUCCGGUAAAGCGAAUGAUUAGAGGCAUUGGGGUCGAAACGACCUCAACCUAUUCUCAAACUUUAAAUGGGUGAGAUCUCCGGCUUGCUUAAAUGUGAAGCCGCGAGAUAUUAUAUAUUGAAUUAAAGUGCCAAGUGGGCCAUUUUUGGUAAGCAGAACUGGCGCUGUGGGAUGAACCAAACGCCGAGUUAAAGCGCCUAAAUUAACGCUUAUGGGAUACCAUGAAAGGCGUUGGUAACUUAAGACAGCAGGACGGUGGCCAUGGAAGUCGGAAUCCGCCAAGGAGUGUGUAACAACUCACCUGCCGAAGUUACUAGCCCUGAAAAUGGAUGGCGCUGAAGCGUUAUGCUUAUACUCGGCCGUCAGCGGCAUGUGCGUUCGUAUUUUAUUAUACGUUCAUGAAGCCCUGACGAGUAGGAGGGUCGCGGCGGUGCGCGCAGAAGGGCUGGCCGUGAGGCCGUCUGGAGCCGCCGUCGGUGCAGAUCUUGGUGGUAGUAGCAAAUACUCCAGCGAGGCCCUGGAGGACUGACGUGGAGAAGGGUUUCGUGUGAACAGCCGUUGCACACGAGUCAGUCGAUCCUAAGCCCUAGGCGAAAGCCGAUGUUGAUGCGAUGUUUUGAAUCUUGAAAUCUAGUCUCGAUUACAAACACAUCCAUCGGGCGAAAGGGAAUCCGGUUCCUAUUCCGGAACCCGGCAGCGGAACCGUCUUAAAUUCGUGCCCUCUUAUAGAGAGUUCGUCGGGGUAACCCAAAAAGACCCGAAGACGCCGUCGGGAGAUCCGGGAAGAGUUUUCUUUUCUGUAUGAGCGUUCGAGUUCCAUGGAAUCCUCUAGCAGGGAGAUAUGGUUUGGAACGCGAAGAGCACCGCAUUUGCGGCGGUGUCCGGAUCUUCCCCUCGGACCUUGAAAAUUCGGGAGAGGGCCACGUGGAGGCGUCGCGCCGGCUCGUACCCAUAUCCGCAGCAGGUCUCCAAGG